rnacentral:rRNA from 1 species
AGCUCUGAUGCUACUGCACCACAUGUGUUUUUCUUUGAAACAAACUUGCUUUGGCGGUGGGCCCAGCCUGCCGCCAGAGGUCUAAACUUACAACCAAUUUUUUAUCAACUUGUCACACCAGAUUAUUACUAAUAGUCAAAACUUUCAACAACGGAUCUCUUGGUUCUCGCAUCGAUGAAGAACGCAGCGAAAUGCGAUACGUAAUAUGAAUUGCAGAUAUUCGUGAAUCAUCGAAUCUUUGAACGCACAUUGCGCCCUCUGGUAUUCCGGAGGGCAUGCCUGUUUGAGCGUCGUUUCUCCCUCAAACCGCUGGGUUUGGUGUUGAGCAAUACGACUUGGGUUUGCUUGAAAGACGGUAGUGGUAAGGCGGGAUCGCUUUGACAAUGGCUUAGGUCUAACCAAAAACAUUGCUUGCGGCGGUAACGUCUACCACGUAUAUCUUCAAACUUUGACCUCAAAUCAGGUAGGACUACCCGCUGAACUUAAGCAUAUCAAAAGCCGGGAGGAA